UACGGAGGGGGCUAGCGUUGUUCGGAAUUACUGGGCGUAAAGAGCUCGUAGGCGGUUUGGUAAGUUGGAUGUGAAAUCUCCAGGCUCAACUUGGAGGGGUCAUUCGAUACUGCCAUGACUAGAGUUCGGUAGGGGAGUGUGGAAUUCCUGGUGUAGCGGUGAAAUGCGCAGAUAUCAGGAGGAACACCGGUGGCGAAGGCGGUUCUCUGGGCAGUUACCUGACGCUGAGGAGCGAAAGUGUGGGGGAGCGAACAGG
rnacentral:rRNA from 1 species